UCCUGGCGUGUAAGGUUCCCAGCCAAAUAAGGCAAAAGCACAGCAAGCAUCUGACGUCUAUAAUUAGCCUAACUCGCAAGCUGAGGACCGCCUCUUCUGUCUCCCUUUACAACAUAUAAGAAGUGCGGAUCCGGAAGAACCGUUUGGCUCAAGACACUUCCCUCCAACAGGAUACUAAGAUACAAUGUAGGCUACAGUUAUCCAGAGCGACACAUCUUUGCUUCAUGUGAGAUUAAAACGAAGAUGGUGUUAAGAUAUCCCCCAAAAGGAAUAUGCUUGCCUUAUUUUUUCUGUACGCCCGAAGCCGCGUAAAGAAACAAGGAGUUCCCAGCUAAAUCAUAGCGACCUGUGGGCUGAUCAUAUGGAGUUACGGCAGUUCUGUACACAAGCAACUCCAGGUGGUUUGGCCGUGCUGAAAAAGAAAACAGAAAAAGAAAUGGUGGUUAAGAAUGGAAUGAAAUAAAACUGAAUCGAAUAAUAAAACGAACAGGCAUGAAUCAAGAAUCAGAGCUUCACCUAUAACUUAUUCAGCAGGGUGUUCUGGAGGUCCUCGUAUACCUGGUUGUAGAGAUCGUCCUUCGAUUUUGUGCCAUCCAGACAUUCUGUACGCACGAGAAUUAUAAAAACAUGAAUGUUAACUGCAUGACUUAUGAGGUCUCUUUAUAUCCACUGAUUGAUUAAUCACUUACGGAUCGCUAUGCAGUUGCUCUCCAUCUCUUUCCUGUGUUUCAAGUACAUGGGCCACACGUGACCGUCAAACAGACCGGGAGGGUCAGGAACUGUGUAUGUUCUUGUGCUUUGUGGAGAAACAGACAACAACAACAAUGAAUAGGCAAAUUCUUAAUCCAAACUUCUCAUUGUGACUGAUCUAUCGUGUUACGAGUCCUACCUUCUUCUUCUCUUGCACUCCUCGUAUGGAAUGGUCACAUAGUAGCUCUUGUCAAAGAUUUCAAUCAGAGGUCUGCAAAGCAAAGUUCAAAGCUGAAAAAGCAGAUAACAAACCGAGUCGACUAAAGUCUACUAAAAUGCCAAAGAAAUGCAAACCCACUUGUAAUUAUAGAGCAGAAAGCCCUCCACAAUGAGUAUGUGGAGCUUUCUCUCAUGAUCAGACCCGUCGGUUAAGGGCGACAGGGUCACGCCAUGAGAGCGAGCAAACUUCACUGGGUUCUCAAGCCAGCCUUUUACAGUGUUCACCAUGGCCUCCAUGUCCAGGGCUGUGAUCACUGCACAGGGGCGACAGACAAACAGACAGCACAUCUCACAAACCAUGAUAUUGGCUCUACAAAAUAUAACUUGUUUUUUUGCCUCCUGUAUACUUUUUGUUCUUUCUUUAUAGAGAGGUUAAUGGUUAAUAUUAAGAUGUUAUAACAUUUACAAACAGUCUAAUAGUAUCCAUUACAAAGAAAUUUUAGGUUUUAGGUUCAUGUUACAGAAAAAGGGUAAAUAAAUAUGGUCAUGGAAAGAUGAGUAAUACAUUACUGUCGUUUAUUUUUCCUACAGCCGAAAGCCACUCUUACCAUCCCAUUGUCUAAAGCCGUCCUCCCCGACCUCUAUUUGAUCUUGGGGCUGCAAUAACAGUGACCAAUAAAACAUUGCUGCAGAUCGCGCACGCAGUGCUGAUCCCACCUGGACAUACAACGCCAAGCCCUCAGGCUAAACAUGGCUGUCUUGUUCAGUUUGUGUCAAUUAAUUUGGUUAACUAAACCUCAAUCAGGCAGUUAGGCCUUGACUGGAAGGUCAUUGUAACUGGAUCGAAUAGUUAGGUUUACUGAACUGAAUUUACAUGGGUGUAGAAAGCUCAAUGCAGAUUUGCUUAUUAUUUGUUAUGGUUCUUAAUAAUUUCUUUUUUAAAAUAAUGGUACAGUAAAUUGGUGUCAUUGAUAAUGGAGAGGUACAAGUAAAAAUGUAAUUGCUCUG